rnacentral:rRNA from 1 species
CCUACGGGUGGCAGCAGUGAGGAAUAUUGGUCAAUGGCCGUGAGCCUGAACCAGCCAAGUCGCGUGAAGGAAGACUGCCCUAUGGGUUGUAAACUUCUUUUAUAAAGGAAUAAAGUUAGCCACGUGUGCAUUUUUGCAUGUACUUUAUGAAUAAGCAUCGGCUAACUCCGUGCCAGCAGCCGCGGUAAUACGGAGGAUCCGAGCGUUAUCCGGAUUUAUUGGGUUUAAAGGGUGCGUAGGUGGGUUGUUAAGUCAGUUGUGAAAGUUUGUGGCUCAACCGUAAAAUUGCCAUUGAAACUGGAAGUCUUGAGUGUAGUUGAGGUAGGCGGAAUGCGUGGUGUAGCGGUGAAAUGCAUAGAUAUCACGAAGAACUCCGAUUGCGAAGGCAGCUUACUAAGCUGCCACUGACAUUGAUGCUCGAAAGCGUGGGUAUCAAACAGGAUUAGAUACCCGAGUAGUC